rnacentral:rRNA from 1 species
UCUAAUCCUAAAAGGGUAAUAUUCUCAUAGAAACCUAUAUCCCUUGACGGCCUCUAUUCUAAUCAAAGGAACUUGUUAUUUAAUCGAAACUACACGCUUAAUCUCUCUUACUUUAAGUUUUUAUACCGUCGUCUAAAGGAUACACUAAUUUGUGAAUCCUAAACUGGAAAACCACCUAAGUCAGAUCAAGGUGAAGCCUAUAAGUAAGCCCAUAAUGAGUUAUUCAUGAACAUAAUUUAAGAAACACUUUUCAAAAAUUCUGUGAAUUAAGAUUUGAUUGUACCCACCAGAAUAAAAUUCUGGGCGGUAUAAGUGAAAAGAGGUGU